rnacentral:rRNA from 1 species
UGAGGAAUAUUGGGCAAUGCCCGCAAGGGUGACCCAGCAACGCCGCGUGGAGGAUGAAUGUCGUAAGAUUGUAAACUCCUGUUAGAGGGGAAGAAUAGUACCGGUUGGACCGGUAUAUGACUGUACCCUCAGAGAAAGCCCCGGCUAACUACGUGCCAGCAGCCGCGGUAAUACGUAGGGGGCAAGCGUUGUCCGGAUUUACUGGGUGUAAAGGGUGCUCAGGCGGAUUUGUAAGUCAGAGGUGAAAUCUUACAGCUUAACUGUGAAACUGCCUUUGAUACUGCAAGCCUAGAGUAUGGAAGAGAGUGAUGGAGUAUCUGGUGUAGCAGUGAAAUGCGUAGAUAUCAGAUAGAACACCAAUGGCGAAGGCAGUCACUUGGUCCAUUACUGACGCUAAAGCACGAAAGCGUGGGUAGCAAACA